AACGUGCCUUCUGGUCUGGAAUAACCCUGGGAAACUAGGGCUAAUACCGGAUACGCCCUUUUGGGGAAAGGUUUACUGCCGGAAGAUCGGCCCGCGUCUGAUUAGCUAGUUGGUGGGGUAACGGCCUACCAAGGCGACGAUCAGUAGCUGGUCUGAGAGGAUGAUCAGCCACACUGGGACUGAGACACGGCCCAGACUCCUACGGGAGGCAGCAGUGGGGAAUAUUGGACAAUGGGCGCAAGCCUGAUCCAGCCAUGCCGCGUGAGUGAUGAAGGCCUUAGGGUUGUAAAGCUCUUUUAUCCGGGACGAUAAUGACGGUACCGGAGGAAUAAGCCCCGGCUAACUUCGUGCCAGCAGCCGCGGUAAUACGAAGGGGGCUAGCGUUGCUCGGAAUCACUGGGCGUAAAGGGCGCGUAGGCGGCGUUUUAAGU
rnacentral:rRNA from 1 species